AUUAGUCAUUUAAUAUAUAUUACUCCCAGCCAUACUCACGUCUGUACUCCCUAUCAAACUCAUGUAUAUAUUUUAGUAUACUCCCAACUUAACACUUUUAUCAACUAAAGAAAAGGAAAAAAAAAAAAAAAGUAGUACAUCUCCCAAAUCAUCACAUGUAUAUAUCCUCUGCCAUUUAGCCACGCCUAUAUCUUCCUCUCGUCUCUAUCUCUAUCUCUAUCUCUAUCUCCAUCUCCCCCAUUCUCAAACUUCUCUCUGAAAUUCUCCUAACAAUUCACAAUGCAGGAACAAUCCCAAAUUAUCUCCCAAAUUAUUUCACAGAGGCAUAAUUCCUAUCCGUCAUAGCUCCCUCCCUCUUUCUCACAAAAACAGAAGUAACCAAAGGACUCUCAUCUCUCGUUCCAAAAAUCGACGCCGCAACAGCCUUCGUCGCUGCUGCAGUCACGGCCUCUCCGUCACCGCCACUGUCCGCCACCGAUCCCGGCGGUCAGCUCCUCCGUCGCGGCACCGCUACUCCCAACAACACAUGAUUUAAUUGAAAUUGAAAAGAAACAGGAGACGGCUUCUAAAGCCUUAAAGAUCGAAGCUUUAGGAGGAAAAAGAUUAUCAUUCAACAAGUUUCAAGGAAUUAAAUUCCAAAACUUUUCCGGGCUGUGAUCUACUGUGAAAUAUAUGUGACCAUGAUGUGGAGGAUUUCAGCGAUUAAGGAUAUACCUUUGAAGAGAAGAAAAUUUGCACAAGCAGAAGAUUUUCGAAUUCAAUGGGAGGGGAAGAAAUUACCUUCACUGAAAGGGAAGAAAACUGCAGGGACGACGGACUGCUGAGAUUGUGGGAGGAGAUGUAUAAUAUAGAGAUUUGAUUGGUUUGUUGAGAGAUUUUUGGUAGUGGGAGCAAGGUGGAGACGUGGAUUUAGGAGAGGGAAUGUAUUUUGACUAAGAAUUUGACUGUAGUAGAAGAAUAAUUAAUUUAUAUUUUGGCUUCUCAAAAUCGGUCAACCAAAAAGGAAUAAAAGCUAGAAACAUGGGAGGUAAAAAGAUAAGCCCAAAUAUUUGGUUUAGAGUAUUUAUUGGUAUUUUAUUUUUAGUAUUUUGGUGAUUAAAUAAGAACACCUAAU